AGGAAUUUGGAAUCGCAGGAAAUGCACCUCUCAAGGCGAUGGUGCUAUCUGCUACUUUUCUUCAAAUAAAGUGCAAUUAAAGCAAACCGAAACAUCAUCAAAGUGUCCAGACUCUCCUAAUGAAGCAUCACAAUGGCUACACUACAAAGAUUAUUGCUAUGCAUUUGAUAUGGCAUUUUAUAAUUAUUCCAUAUAUACUGGAAACACAGCUAGGAAAAUUUGCAAGAAACUUAAUCCUUCUGCAGAUGUUCUGACUAUCAAGGAUGAAAAGGAAAAUACGUUUGUGAGCACACACUUGAAAGAAUAUUAUUUUAUUACUGGAAAAGUAUGGCUUGGAAUACAAUUUAAUGGUAAGGAAAAGCUGGAUG
rnacentral:lncRNA from 1 species